AGAACAUGUUUCGUGGUUGACUAAGAGUGGUGCAGAACAAGAUAGAUACCAAACCAUAAUGUUGCUGCAACAUUCUAUGUUCUGUGCCAUUCCUCCCUCUCACUUCACCCCACCACUCAAACAAAGGAACCCAUCUCUUCACCGUCUUCCUUCUCCUAGAAAGCCCAAAGCCUCCACCCUAAGAAUUUCCUCUCUUGGCGCUGGUUUCUUCGAUGACAUCGUCCAAAUUGCUCAUAACAAGGUUCUGAUUGCAGCUGGUGUCUCUGUGGCGAUUGGUCAGCUUUCUAAGCCAUUCACUUCUGUUUUUCUGUAUGGCAAAGGGUUUGAUAUCAGAGCAGUUGUUCAAGCUGGAGGGUUCCCUUCAUCACACUCUUCUGCAACAGUGGCUAGUGCAACAUUAUUUGGCCUUGAGAGAGGCUUCUCCGAUCCUAUUUUUGGUCUUGCAGUUGUGUAUGCCGGUCUCAUUAUGUAUGAUGCUCAGGUUGUUAUUAGGAUUUGCAACAGAACAAGGCAAUGGUAAUGCCUGUAUGCAGUCAGGGAAUUGCUAUUGAAGGAAACUAGUUGCAUCAUUAAUCAGGCUUAUAUCAAAAGAAAGCAAGGGUACCUUUCUUUUCAAGAUCUUCUCCGUUGGCCAAGCCAUUGAUGCACAGAGGCAUCGUAUAAUUUUGGCAAGUUUGCUCUGUACAUGGGUGUAAGAAGAGAAGUAGGGAUUCAUGCCAAGACAUUGAACAAAAUACUGCUCCAAAUGCAAGCCAACUCUUUACAUUCCAAAGAUAGAGAUAAUUUGAUUAACUCUCAACCAGGACUAUCAAAACCUCUAAAAGUUGGUCUUGAUAAGUCCCUUUUGUCCCAAGAAGCCACUUCUUUGGAACCACAAGAAACAAAUAGAGGUCUAUUGGUUAAAUCAGGAAGCAAAAUAAGGCAAACAGAUGCAGAUGAAAUCUCAUCAAAGUUGGCCAUUGAUGGUAUACCCCAACUAAAAGAAUCUAUUGGUCAUACAGAGAUUGAAGUCAUAGCUGGUGCUUUACUAGGCUUUUUGGUGGCUUUGGCUGUGUAUAAUUUCAAGUAAAAUCUUGCUUUUUGAUGAAUAAUUUCAUAGCAUAUCUUACAACAAGUAGAUUAUUAAAUUGAAAAUCAAGCUGAGUUGGAAAUUAAAAGGCCAAGUUGACAACAGGUUUAGGUUAUCAUUUAGCAAAACAUUUAAGGUUUGUAUAUGACCUAACAGAACAGGACAUUAGUUAAAGAUGAAAACCCAUCCAAACAGGGGGUUACACACGUACUUCUCUUUUCCUAUGUAUUGCGGUGCCUUAUAUAAAAUUUAUCAAUUAUUGAUUUUA